rnacentral:rRNA from 1 species
UACAGAGGGGGCAAGCGUUAUUCGGAAUUAUUGGGCGUAAAGGGCGCGUAGGCGGCAUCGCAAGUGGAAGGUGAAAUCCCCGGCGUUAACCUGGGAACUGCAUUGGUCGACUGGCGGCUAGAGUAUGGCAGAGGGGGUAGAAUUCCACGUGUAGCAGUAGAAAUGCGUAGAGAUGUGGAGGAAUACCGGAUGGCGAAGGCAGCCCC